CCCUUAGAUGUUCUGGGCCGCACGCGCGCUACACUGAUGCAUUCAACGAGCCUAUCCUUGACCGACAGGUCCGGGUAAUCUUUGAAUCUGCAUCGUGACGGGGAUAGAUUAUUGCAAUUAUUAAUCUUCAACGAGGAAUGCCUAGUAGGCGCAAGUCAUCAGCUUGCGUCGAUUACGUCCCUGCCCUUUGUACACACCGCCCGUCGCUCCUACCGAUUGGGUGUGCUGGUGAAAUGUUCGGAUCGGCCGUUUGUCGCGGUUUACGCGUCAUGUGGCUGAGAAGUUCAUUAAACCCUCCCACCUAGAGGAAGGAGAAGUCGUAACA
rnacentral:rRNA from 1 species